rnacentral:rRNA from 1 species
UGGGGAAUCUUGCGCAAUGCGCGAAAGCGUGACGCAGCAACGCCGCGUGGGGGAAGACGGCCUUCGGGUUGUAAACCCCUUUCAGGAGGGACGAAGGUUCGCCGGUGAAUAGCCGUGCGGAUUGACGGUACCUCCACAAGAAGCUCCGGCUAACUACGUGCCAGCAGCCGCGGUAAUACGUAGGGAGCAAGCGUUGUCCGGAAUCAUUGGGCGUAAAGCGCGCGUAGGUGGCUUCGUAAGUCCGUUGUGAAAGUCAAAGGCUCAACCUUUGAAAGCCGAUGGAUACUGCGGAGCUAGAGUACGGAAGAGGCGAGUGGAAUUCCUGGUGUAGCGGUGGAAUGCGCAGAUAUCAGGAGGAACACCAAUAGCGAAGGCAGCUCGCUGGGACGUUACUGACACUGAGGCGCGAAAGCGUGGGGAGCGAACAGG